AAAAUACAUAAGCUAUCAUGAAAAAAAUUUUAUUGUCUUUAAUAAUAUUUUUAUUUGCAAAUGCCAAUGCCAAAAUGACUUUAUUUUCCCCUCUUACUGGUGCUUUUAUGAUCAUGUUUGGAUAUCUCUAAGACUGCUCAUGCAGUUGUCCCUUGCUACAGGGACCAAGGGAAAACUUCCCCUUUGCCCCCUACAGGUUCACUGAAAAUCAACUAGCAAAAGGCAGACUAACAGAAGAGAAGCCAAACAAAAUUUAUUAAUGCACACACAUGUGCAUGGGAGUCAUAAAAAAUGUAAAAUCUCAAAGAAAAGGCCAGCUGGUUGAUGCUUUCAUGCCAUGAGGUUAGGGGGCUGGAGCAUGCCAAGACUGGUAAUGGGAAGGAGAGAGAAACAAAAGCGUGGGGCAAAGGCAAUCUUAUUAUAUAGUUAAAAUCUCCCAACUAGCAACUCUCAGAAAGAAUAAAUGGUAUCCUGUGGCUGAGUUAAUCUUUUCUAGAUCCGGGUAAGGGAGAGGGCCGUAGAGAAAGCCUGGAUUUAUUAUUUUACUAAUGUGGUUUUUUUCUCUACAGAUGCAAAUCUCCACAAAAGGCAGCUUUUCAGGGCUAUUCCUGUCUACACGCCCUCUGAAUAACCAUCUCAAAAUAUGUUCAAGAAGUAUAUUUUGGAGGUGGCAUUGCAGAUGGGAUCUCAAAGCCAAGUCUCUACAUAUGAUACAGGCAAACAGAUGUUUGUAAGUAAUAUGCUUGUAA
rnacentral:lncRNA from 1 species